GACAGAGGGGGCAAGCGUUGCUCGGAAUUACUGGGCGUAAAGGGCGCGUAGGCGGGAUGGCAAGUCGGUCGUGAAAUCCUUCGGCUCAACCGAAGAACGUCGAUCGAUACUGCUGUUCUUGAGGGUUGCAGAGGAGACUGGAAUUCCCGGUGUAGCGGUGAAAUGUGUAGAGAUCGGGAGGAACACCGGUGGCGAAGGCGGGUCUCUGGGCAAUUCCUGACGCUGAGGCGCGAAAGCUAGGGGAGCAAACGGG
rnacentral:rRNA from 1 species